CGCAUUUGAUUAUUUGAUUUU
rnacentral:piRNA from 1 species